rnacentral:lncRNA from 1 species
GAGAUGUGCGGUUAGGAUGAUAUGGGCCCUCUAGGGUUAAGUGGGUGGUUGGUUGAAUAGUAUAAUCUAAUUGUUGAAAAUGAUCCGAGGAGUAGAUCUAACGGUAAAAAACUUACAAGCACCAAGUACUUGGUGCUUUUACAAGCACCAUAGCUGGACUAUAUAUAUAGUUGAGCUAGAAUACUCUCAAAAUCACCAAGGGGGUGGUGCGUUUGAGUUUCUAACCAUUGGAUGGAGAGAUGUAGGGUUGAGAUGAUGGUAGUAGGUGGUGAUAGGUGGUGGUAGUUGGAAUAGUUUUUGAUUCAAGGGGUAUUAGUAAUUAAGGAGUAGAUCCAAGGGCUAGAAACUUAGAAACACCAAGGGGUUGGUACUUAUAAAGGUAUUCUAGCUCAAUUAUAGAGUGCGUCUGGUAUGCUUCUGGAAGCACGGAGCGCUCCAUGCUUUCAAGUUGUUUUCGAUGUUCGGACUUUCGAAUCGACGAUCGGCUCCGUUAGAUUUGAUCUAAAGUAUUUGAAAUAUCUAGAAAAUAAAUUUUGCGAUUUUUCGAUAUCAUUUGCCUAGUGAUCGAAGUGGCUCAAAAUAAAUAACUGAAAAUAAAAAUCUUACAAAAUAUGAUGAUAUGACAUUAAAAUUUUAGAUCAAAGUUAUUGAUCUUGUUUUAUAUGGUAUAAAGAAUUUUCUAUCAAAAUUUCAUAUGAUUUGAAUAUUUCUACACCAUUAAACUUGCAAAUAGCUCACUACGGCUAUUAAAAUUAUCGAUUUUGAACCCAUUCGAUCACUGGUCAAAUGAUAUCGAAAAAUCACAAAAUUUAUUUUCUAGGUACUUCAAAUAUUCGAGAUUAACUCUAACGGAACCGAUCGUCAAUUCGAAAGUCACAACAUCGAAAACAACUUGGAAGCACAGAAGGCUCCGUGCUUCCAGAAGCAUACCAGCCCACUCCUCAAUUUAU